rnacentral:piRNA from 1 species
UGCUGCGAGUGAUCGAAAUGAGGUCU